UAAAGCGUAUAUGGUGGAUGCCUUGGCAAUCAGAGGCGAUGAAGGACGUGCUAAUCUGCGAAAAGUGUCGAUAAGUUGAUAAGAAACUAUAUUAGUCGGCAAUUUCCGAAUGGGGUAACCUAAUACAAGUAAUUUUGUAUUAUCAUUAAUUGAAUAUAUAGAUUAAUGAAGCGAACCAGGAGAACUGAAACAUCUAAGUAUCCUGAGGAAAAGAAAUCAAUUGAGAUUCUCUUAGUAGUGGCGAGCGAAAAGAGAUUAGCUAGAAGUAUUUAAUUAAAUAAUUAUAUUAAUAGAAUAAUUUGGAAAAAUUAACGAUACAAGGUGAUAGUCCUGUAUAUGAAAAUAUUUUUAUUUAUUUACUUUAUUAAGUAGGGCGAGACACGUGAAAUCUUGUUUGAAGAUAGGGGGACCAUCCUCUAAAGCUAAAUACUACUGAUUGACCGAUAGUGAACUAGUACCGUGAGGGAAAGGUGAAAAGAACCCCGGUUAGGGGAGUGAAAUAGAACCUGAAACCGUAUACGUACAAGCAGUAGGAGCACUUUAUAUAAAGUGUGACUGCGUACCUUUUGUAUAAUGGGUCAGCGAGUUAUAUUUUGUAGCAAGGUUAACUUUUAAUAAGGUAGCCGUAGGGAAACCGAGUCUUUAAUAGGGCGUUAGUUUCAGGAUAUAGACCCGAAACCCGGUGAUCUAACUAUGAGCAGGUUGAAGAUAAGGUAAGACUUAUUGGAGGACCGAACUGACUGAUGUUGAAAAAUCAGCGGAUGACUUGUGGUUAGGGGUGAAAGGCCAAUCAAACCGGGAGAUAGCUGGUUCUCCUCGAAAACUAUUUAGGUAGUGCCUUAUGAAUUAAUCUUUAGGGGUAGAGCACUGUUUCAGUUAGGGGAUCUUCCAGAUUUACCAAUCUGACGCAAACUCCGAAUACUAAGGAAUUUUAUCAUAGGAGACACACAUUGGGUGAUAAGAUCCAAUGUGGAAAGGGAAACAGCCCAGAUCGCAAGCUAAGGUCCCUAAAUUAUGGUUAAGUGGGAAACGAAGUGAGAAGGCUAAUACAGCUAGGAUGUUGGCUUAGAAGCAGCCAUCAUUUAAAGAAAGCGUAAAAGCUCACUAGUCUAGUCAUCUUGCGCGGAAAAUUUAACGGGGCUAAAUCAUAUACCGAAGCUGCGACAAUAAUUAGUUAAUUUAAUAAUUAUUGGGUAGAGGAGCGUUCUGUAAGUCGUAGAAGGUAUAUUGUAAAAUAUGCUGGAGAUAUCAGAAGUGAGAAUGCUGACAUAAGUAACGAUAAAGUAGGUGAAAAACCUACUCGCCGAAAAACUAAGGUUUCCUACCCAACGUUAAUCGGGGUAGGGUUAGUCGAUACCUAAGAUGAGGCUGAAAAGCGUAGUUGAUGGAUAACAGGUUAAUAUUCCUGUACUUGAUAUUAAUUUAUGAUGGGAUGACGGAGAAGGUUAGAUUAUCCGAAUAUUGGAUUAUUUCGGUUUAAGUGUGUAGGUAAAUAUUUAGGAAAAUCCGAAUAUUAUAUAUACCGAGGCAUUAUGACGAAACUUGUAAAAGUGUAAGUAAUUAAUACCAUGCUUCCUAGAAAAAUCUCUAAAUAUUAGUUAAUAUUAAAUCGUACUAUAAACCGACACAGGUGGUUAGGUAGAAAAUACUAAGGCGCUUGAGAGAACUCGGGUAAAGGAACUAGGCAAAAUAGUGCCGUAACUUAGGGAGAAGGCACACUAAUAUUAGGUGAUAGAAUUUUCUUCUUUAGCUGAAAUUAGUCUAAGAUAAAUGCUGGCUGCAACUGUUUAUUAAAAACACAGCACUGUGCAAACACGAAAGUGGAAGUAUACGGUGUGAUGCCUGCCCGGUGCCGGAAGGUUAAUAAAGAAGGUUAGAAUUUAUUUUCGAAGCUUUUAAUUGAAGCCCCGGUAAACGGCGGCCGUAACUAUAACGGUCCUAAGGUAGCGAAAUUCCUUGUCGGGUAAGUUCCGACCUGCACGAAUGGCAUAAUGAUGGCCAGACUGUCUCUACCCGAGACUCAGUGAAAUUGAAAUUGCUGUGAAGAUGCAGUGUACCUGCGGCAAGACGGAAAGACCCCGUGAACCUUUACUAUAGCUUAAUAUUGAAUAUUAAUUAUUAAUGUGUAGAAUAGGUGGGAGACUUUGAAGUAAAGACGCUAGUUUUUAUGGAGUCUACAGUGAAAUACCAUCCUUUAAUAUUUAUUAUUCUAAUCAUUUUCCGUUAUCCGGAAUUGAGACAAUGUUUGGUGGGUAGUUUGACUGGGGCGGUCUCCUCCUAAAGAGUAACGGAGGAGCACAAAGGUCAGCUAAUUACGGUCGGAAAUCGUAAUGUUAGUGUAAAGGCAUAAGCUGGCUUAACUGUAAGCGUGACAACGCGAACAGAUGCGAAAGCAGGUCUUAGUGAUCCGGUGGUUCUGUAUGGAAAGGCCAUCGCUCAACGGAUAAAAGGUACUCCGGGGAUAACAGGCUGAUAUCGCCCAAGAGUUCAUAUCGACGGCGAUGUUUGGCACCUCGAUGUCGGCUCAUCACAUCCUGGGGCUGUAGUAGGUCCCAAGGGUAUGGCUGUUCGCCAUUUAAAGUGGUACGCGAGCUGGGUUUAGAACGUCGUGAGACAGUUCGGUCCCUAUCUGCCGUAGGCGUAGGAAAUUUGAAGGGAGCUGCUCCUAGUACGAGAGGACCGGAGUGGGUGUACCUCUGGUGUUCGGGUUGUUGUGCCAACAGCAUUGCCCGGUAGCUAAGUACAGACAAGAUAAGUGCUGAAAGCAUAUAAGCACGAAACUUACCCUAAGAUUAAAUUUCCCAGAAAAUUUUUAUUAAAUUUUCCUAAAGGAUUGUUAUAGACUAUGACUUUGAUAGGUCAGAUGUGUAAGCAUAGUAAUAUGUUAAGCUAACUGAUACUAAUAAUCCGUGAGUCUUAACU
rnacentral:rRNA from 1 species